rnacentral:rRNA from 1 species
GAUGAACGCUAGCUACAGGCUUAACACAUGCAAGUCGAGGGACCGGCGCACGGGAGUGUAACACGUAUCCAACCUGCCCUUUACUGGAGGAUAGCCUGUCGCAAGAAAGAUUAAUACACAAUAUAAUGGCUGGGGAUGCGUUCCAUUAGGUUGUUGGUGAGGUAACGGCCAACCAAGCCUUCGAUGGAUAGGGGUGGUGAGAGGAAGGUCCCCGACAUUGGAACUGAGACACGGUCCAAACUCCUACGGGAGAGAGCAGUGAGGAAUAUUGGUCAAUGGUCGCUAGCCUGAACCAGCCAAGUAGCGUGAAGGAUGAAGGCUUUUGGGUCGUAAACUUCUUUUAUAUAAGAAUAUGUAUUAUAUGAAUAAGCAUCGGCUAACUCCGUGCCAGCAGCCGCGGUAAUUC